rnacentral:misc_RNA from 1 species
GAUGAAGAACGCAGUGAAAUGCGAUACGUAAUGUGAAUUGCAGAAUUCAGUGAAUCAUCGAGUCUUUGAACGCACAUUGCGCCCCCUGGUAUUCCGGGGGGCAUGCCUGUCCGAGCGUCAUUGCUGCCCUCAAGCACGGCUUGUGUGUUGGGCCUCCGUCCUCCUCCCGGGGGACGGGCCCGAAAGGCAGCGGCGGCACCGCGUCCGGUCCUCGAGCGUAUGGGGCUUCGUCACCCGCUCUUGUAGGCCCGGCCGGCGCUUGCCGACACAUCAAUCUUUUUUCCAGGUUGACCUCGGAUCAGGUAGGGAUACCCGUUGAACUUAAGCAUAUCAAUAAGCGGAGGA